rnacentral:tRNA from 1 species
UUCAUAUAAAAACUCAAGUACUUGAUUCUAACCAUAAAUCAACGCUUGAAUUACCAUU